ACUUCUGUUGUCAUCCAGUGGCUGAAAUCAACUGGAAGCCUACAGGGAAAGACCUGCCUCCUGGGACACAGAGCAGAAAGACACGACCUUGUGGAUUAUACUGACUGGCUCCAGCCACAUCAUCUGAAUCAGAGUAAUUGCUUUCAUCUGUGUCAUAGACAGACUACACUGUGUUCACCUCCUCUGCCAGUUGUUUCUGAUGCUGUAACCUCCAGUUUUUGAGUAAAACACUUUUGUUACAGCAAGAAGGAACACAUUUGCUGAAAACUUUCCAAAUUUUUUCGUUACUGCUGCACCAUCACUAGCUGUUGAUAUCGAUGGAAUUCCUGACCAGUAACAUUUCCAUGAAGAUCAUUACAAUUUAUUUCUUGAAAUUCUGGGAAGGCAUGGAAACAUCACAUUGCAGCAGAUGCUGGGGAUGCAGCAAUGAACAAGACAGGCCAGAUCCCUACUCUCAGAUAAACACAAUGAUCCAGGUCAGUAGGCAUUUGGUAGGAAUCUGCAUCAAACUGUUGGGCAAUGGUAGACAGCAACAUUGACGUCUGUAAAUUUACACUUGGAUUCUUAGUUUCUGGUUGGCUGCAUCCUUCUUCUGAAGGCCACUGCUCUUUUCAGAAGACCUCCCUAGAUGGCUAAGCUCUCUGGGUUGCAACAGUUGCUCUUUUUCCUUGAGCCUUAGGUUAGGGAGUUGGGAGGAAGUAAUGGCUUCCCCCACUGCUAGCUCCAGGGUGCUACACUUUCUCUUUUCUAGUUUCCCUAAUCUGGCUUACACCAUUAUAGAUAGACCCUUUAUUAAAAUAUCCUCAAUUUAUCCAU
rnacentral:lncRNA from 1 species